UGCCGCUCAUUAUUGUAGGUUGCUUUAUGAUGCUCCCCUGCCUCUUCGACACCUGGCUUUUGAGUUUGCUUUUAGUUUUCUAUUUAAAGAGCCUCCAAGCUUAGUUGUUUGUGUGCUUAAGACUUUCACAUUGUAAAAUAUACUAUUGAGUGUUCUUCUUUGAGUGUUGUCUCUCUUUUCAACUUUAGUGUCAUCCUGUAACAUUGAAGAUUAAUAAAUUAAUGGAUUUCAGAUUUCGUAUUUGAAGAAAUUGGAUCAGAAACAUGGAAUGCAAGCCAAGCCGUGCAAAAAAUAGAAUAGGAUAUUUGCAAGAUGCAGUCUUAGCAAGUAAAUUCAAAAGGUUGUUUGAGUGAAUUUCGAAAGCUGGCCGUCAUGAUUAAGCCAUCUCAUUGAAGAUGAUUACUUCUAUUGACUCGA